GAACAGUUGGUUCGUACAAUGGCACUCCUUGGACUUGGAAAUGCUACCCCUAUCUUCAGUAUGGCUCCUACUUUCGGACCAUUCAAACCAACAGGGCUUCUACCAACAAUAAUUGAAGAAGACAAAGUUAUAUUGAACAAUGUCCAAAAAGUUGUUGAGUUUUUGACUGUUGGUUCAAUACCAAAAACAUGAAAUGAGAGCUUCUCCCAGUGUUGCCAGGCAUGUCCACCACAAUACUUCCAGAAGUUCUCAAUUGAUUAACUUCUAGAGUAUUAGCUCGCGUCAUUCGAGACACAUUUUUGUAGAACACAUUCUUAACUUUCUUAAAGGCCUCAGUUGUUGAUAUAUAUAUAUAUAUAUUGUGAACAGCAUCAUAUAUGUUAGUGCAAUGUCCAAGCAACACACCUUACUUCCUUUUGUAAUGCUCAGAAACUACCAAGGAACUGAAAACCUCAUUGUAUAUAACAAGUUCAACUUAAAUCACUUCAUCUGUAUAGUUUGGAUGUAUAUAUAUAUAUAGAAGCCAAAAGGGUGGUUUUUCUUUCCAUUGAAAGAAAGAGCUUUAAUAGAUUUCAUUGUGUAUGUUUCUUCUUUCUUCAUAACAAGCACACAACUAUCAAUUUUGGACCCAUUAUAAUGAACGAGGAUUAGUGCCACAGCCUGAAGACUUUUCAUUCCACAAGGAUGAAGAGAAGAAGGUUAAAGCUUAAGUUCCCUCGUGAAGAUAGUGCGCGAUCUGAGGUGCUACAGCGCCAAUUACGCCGGUUCAUCGGCUCCGGCACCGGGUCCUCCGUCGGCGAACGAGGCGAAGAUCAAGAAAGCUAAAAGUAGUGUUGGGUCGACCUCGAAGAGCUGGAGCUUGAACGAUCCUGAGUUGCAGAGGAAGAAAAGGGUGGUUGGGUAUAAGGCUUACGCCGUUGAGGGGAAGAUGAAAUGUUCUUUUCGAAAUGUAUUUCUAAUUUUUUUUAUUUAAUUGUUUUUAAUUUUAUAUUAUUUUAAUUAUUUUUAAAAUUUUAAAAUUAAGUAAAAUGAUCUUUUAAAAAUAUUUAUGAGCUGGAUCAAUCACGGAGUGACACGUGUUUGUCCA